AACCCAUGAUUUGGGCAUUUUCUCAACAUCCUUUUAAAUAUCUCUCAUGAAUCAUAGAAGACUUCAUCUGCUCCUUGUCUAAACAUAGAAAUCUGAGGCU
rnacentral:snoRNA from 1 species